UACGGGGGGGGGCAAGCGUUGUUCGGAAUUACUGGGCGUAAAGGGCUUGUAGGUGGCCAACUAAGUCAGACGUGAAAUCCCUCGGCUUAACCGGGGAACUGCGUCUGAUACUGGAUGGCUUGAGUGUGGGAGAGGGAUGCGGAAUUCCAGGUGUAGCGGUGAAAUGCGUAGAUAUCUGGAGGAACACCGGUGGCGAAGGCGGGUCUCUGGGCAGUAACUGACGCUGAGGAGCGAAAGCGUGGGGAGCGAACAGG
rnacentral:rRNA from 1 species